GGUUAAGCGAAUAAGCGUACACGGUGGAUGCCUAGGCAAUCAGAGGCGAUGAAGGACGUGCUAAUCUGCGAAAAGCGUCGGUAAGGUGAUAUGAACCGUUAUACCCGACGAUAUCCGAAUGGGGAAACCCAGUAUCCAAUGGAUACUAUCAUUAACUGAAUCCAUAGGUUAAUGAGGCGAACCGGGAGAACUGAAACAUCUCAGUACCCCGAGGAAAAGAAAUCAACCGAGAUUCCCCUAGUAGCGGCGAGCGAACGGGGAGCAGCCCAGAGUCUUAAUCAAUAGCAGUGUCAGGAGAACGGUCUGGAAAGUCCGGCAGUAAAGGGUGAUAGCCCCGUAUCUGAAGAUGCUGUUAUUGUGAACUCGACGAGUAGGGCGGGACACGUGUUAUCCUGUCUGAAUAUGGGGGGACCAUCCUCCAAGGCUAAAUACUCCUGAUUGACCGAUAGUGAACCAGUACCGUGAGGGAAAGGCGAAAAGAACCCCGGCGAGGGGAGUGAAAAAGAACCUGAAACCGUGUACGUACAAGCAGUAGGAGCCUCUUUAUGGGGUGACUGCGUACCUUUUGUAUAAUGGGUCAGCGACUUAUAUUCUGUAGCGAGGUUAACCGCAUAGGGGAGCCGUAGGGAAACCGAGUCUUAACUGGGCGAAUGAGUUGCAGGGUAUAGACCCGAAACCCGGUGAUCUAUCCAUGGGCAGGUUGAAGGUUGGGUAACACUAACUGGAGGACCGAACCGACUAAUGUUGAAAAAUUAGCGGAUGACUUGUGGAUGGGGGUGAAAGGCCAAUCAAACCGGGAGAUAGCUGGUUCUCCCCGAAAGCUAUUUAGGUAGCGCCUCGUGAACUCAUCUUCGGGGGUAGAGCACUGUUUCGACUAGGGGGUCAUCCCGACUUACCAACUCGAUGCAAACUGCGAAUACCGAAGAAUGUUAUCACGGGAGACACACGGCGGGUGCUAACGUCCGUCGUGAAGAGGGAAACAACCCAGACCGCCAGCUAAGGUCCCAAAGUCAUGGUUAAGUGGGAAACGAAGUGGGAAGGCUCAGACAGCCAGGAUGUUGGCUUAGAAGCAGCCAUCAUUUAAAGAAAGCGUAAUAGCUCACUGGUCGAGUCGGCCCGCGCGGAAGAUGUAACGGGGCUAAACCAUGCACCGAAGCUGCGGCAGCGACACAAAGUGUUGUUGGGUAGGGGAGCGUUCUGUAAGCCUGCGAAGGUGUACUGUGAGGUAUGCUGGAGGUAUCAGAAGUGCGAAUGCUGACAUAAGUAACGAUAAUGCGGGUGAAAAACCCGCACGCCGGAAGACCAAGGGUUCCUGUCCAACGUUAAUCGGGGCAGGGUGAGUCGACCCCUAAGGCGAGGCUGAAAAGCGUAGUCGAUGGGAAACGGGUUAAUAUUCCCGUACUGGUGGUAACUGCGAUGGGGGAACGGAGAAGGCUAGGUUGUCCGGGCGACGGUCGUCCCGGUUCAAGCAGGUAGGCAGAGUGAUUAGGCAAAUCCGGUCACUUAAUGCUGAGAUGUGAUGACGAACCACCAAGGUGGUGAAGCAAUUGAUGCCCCGCUUCCAGGAAAAGCCUCUAAGCUUCAGGUUACCAACAAUCGUACCCCAAACCGACACAGGUGGUCAGGUAGAGAAUACUCAGGCGCUUGAGAGAACUCGGGUGAAGGAACUAGGCAAAAUGGUGCCGUAACUUCGGGAGAAGGCACGCUGGCGGUAGGUAAAGUCCCUCGCGGACGGCGCUGAAGCCAGUCGAAGAUACCAGCUGGCUGCAACUGUUUAUUAAAAACACAGCACUGUGCAAACACGAAAGUGGACGUAUACGGUGUGACGCCUGCCCGGUGCUGGAAGGUUAAUUGAUGGGGUUAGCGCAAGCGAAGCUCCUGAUCGAAGCCCCAGUAAACGGCGGCCGUAACUAUAACGGUCCUAAGGUAGCGAAAUUCCUUGUCGGGUAAGUUCCGACCUGCACGAAUGGCGUAAUGAUGGCCAGGCUGUCUCCACCCGAGACUCAGUGAAAUUGAACUCGCUGUGAAGAUGCAGUGUACCCGCGGCAAGACGGAAAGACCCCGUGAACCUUUACUAUAGCUUGACACUGAACAUUGAGCCUUGAUGUGUAGGAUAGGUGGGAGGCUUUGAAGUGUGGACGCCAGUCUGCAUGGAGCCAACCUUGAAAUACCACCCUUUAACGUUUGAUGUUCUAACCUAGGCCCAUAAACUGGGUCGGGGACCGUGUCUGGUGGGUAGUUUGACUGGGGCGGUCUCCUCCUAAAGAGUAACGGAGGAGCACGAAGGUUGGCUAAGCAUGGUCGGACAUCAUGCGGUUAGUGCAAAGGCAUAAGCCAGCUUGACUGCGAGAGUGACGGCUCGAGCAGGUACGAAAGUAGGUCUUAGUGAUCCGGUGGUUCUGAAUGGAAGGGCCAUCGCUCAACGGAUAAAAGGUACUCCGGGGAUAACAGGCUGAUACCGCCCAAGAGUUCAUAUCGACGGCGGUGUUUGGCACCUCGAUGUCGGCUCAUCACAUCCUGGGGCUGAAGUAGGUCCCAAGGGUAUGGCUGUUCGCCAUUUAAAGUGGUACGCGAGCUGGGUUUAGAACGUCGUGAGACAGUUCGGUCCCUAUCUGCCGUGGGCGUUGGAAGAUUGAGAGGGGUUGCUCCUAGUACGAGAGGACCGGAGUGAACGCACCACUGGUGUUCGGGUUGUCAUGCCAAUGGCAUUGCCCGGUAGCUAAGUGCGGAAGAGAUAACCGCUGAAAGCAUCUAAGCGGGAAACUUGCCUCGAGAUGAGUCUUCCCUGUCGCUUUAAGCGACCUAAAGGAACGUUUAAGACUAAGACGUUGAUAGGCUGGGUGUGUAAGCGUAGCGAUACGUUGAGCUAACCAGUACUAAUGAACCGUGAGGCUUAACCUG
rnacentral:rRNA from 1 species